rnacentral:rRNA from 1 species
CCUGGCGCGAUUGGAUGAGCCCAUGUCGGAUUAGCUAGUUGGCGGGGUAAAGGACCCACCAAGGCGACGAUCCGUAGCUGGUCUGAGAGGAUGAUCAGCCACACUGGAACUGAGACACGGUCCAGACUCCUACGGGAGGCAGCAGUAGGGAAUAUUGGACAAUGGGCGCAAGCCUGAUCCAGCCAUGCCGCGUGAGUGAAGAAGGCCCUCGGGUUGUAAAGCUCUUUUGUCCGGAAAGAAAAGCGCCGGGUUAAUACCCUGGUGUCCUGACGGUACCGGAAGAAUAAGCACCGGCUAACUUCGUG